rnacentral:snRNA from 1 species
CCAUUAAAGACCAUUGUCCAAUGG